CAGCCGCCGCGGUAAUACGGAGGGUGCAAGCGUUAUCCGGAUUUAUUGGGUUUAAAGGGUCCGUAGGCGGAUCUGUAAGUCAGUGGUGAAAUCUCACAGCUUAACUGUGAAACUUCCAUUGAUACUGCAGGUCUUGAGUAAAUUUGAAGUGGCUGGAAUAAGUAGUGUAGCGGUGAAAUGCAUAGAUAUUACUUAGAACACCAAUUGCGAAGGCAGGUCACUAAGAUUUAACUGACGCUGAUGGACGAAAGCGUGGGGAGCGAACAGGAUUAGAUACCCCUGUAGUCCCUGUCUCUUAUAC
rnacentral:rRNA from 1 species